rnacentral:rRNA from 1 species
CCUACGGGCGGCAGCAGUGGGGGAUAUUGCACAAUGGGGGGAACCCUGAUGCAGCGACGCAGCGUGGGUGAAGGAGUGCUUCGGCAUGUAAAGCCCUAUCGGCAGGGAAGAAGCCAGACGGUACCUGACUAAGACGCACCGGCUAACUACGUGACAGCAGCCGCGGUCAUACGUAGGGGUCGAGCGUUAUCCGGAUUCACUGGGGGUAAAGGGAGCGUAGACGGCCAUGCAAGCCAGGGGGGAACGCCCGGGGCCCAACCCCGGGACUGCCCUUGAAACUGUGCGGCUAGAGUGUGGGAGGGGUAGGCGGAAUUCCUGGUGUAGCGGUGAAAUGCGUAGAUAUCAGGAGGAACACCGGAGGCGAAGGCGGCCUGCUGGACUGCGACUGACGUUGAGGCUCGAAAGCGUGGGGAGCGAACAGGAUUAGAUACCCUUGUAGUC